AAUGAACGCUGGCGGCGUGGUUAAGACAUGCAAGUCGAACGGUUUUUAAAAAGUAGCAAUACCUUUUAAAGACAGUGGCGAACGGGUGCGUAACACGUGAACAAUCUACCUUUUAGUGCGGAAUAGCUCGGCGAAAGCCGGAUUAAUACCACAUGUGGUUGGCUCUCUCCUGAGAGCUAUACUAAAGUCUGGGACCGCAA
rnacentral:rRNA from 1 species